rnacentral:misc_RNA from 1 species
AAAGUCGUAACAAGGUCUCCGUUGGUGAACCAGCGGAGGGAUCAUUACCGAGUUAACAACUCCCAAACCCCCAUGUGAACCUAUAACCAAACGUUGCUUCGGCGGGAGCGCCCCGGCUCGGCCCGGAACCAGGCGCCCGCCGAGGACCCCUCUAAAUCAUGUUUCCUACAGUUUCUUCUGAGUGGCAAACGCAAAAUAAAUUAAAACUUUUAACAACGGAUCUCUUGGCUCUG